CACGUAGGGCGCAAGCGUUGUCCGGAAUUAUUGGGCGUAAAGAGCUCGUAGGUGGUUUGUUACGUCUGCUGUGAAAACCUGGGGCUCAACCCCGGGCGUGCGGUGGAUACUGCCGGGCUAGAGGGUGGUAGAGGCGAGUGGAAUUCCCGGUGUAGCGGUGAAAUGCGCAGAUAUCGGGAGGAACACCAGUAGCGAAGGCGGCUCGCUGGGCCAUUCCUGACGCUGAGACGCGAAAGCUAGGGGAGCGAACAGG
rnacentral:rRNA from 1 species